GGAUGAGCUGUGGAUCGGAGUGAAAGGCUAAUCAAGCCCGGAGAUAGCUGGUUCUCCUCGAAAUCUAUUUAGGUAGAGCGUUGUGUCUUACCCUGGGGGGUAGAGCACUGUUUGGGCUAGGGGGUCAUCCCGACUUACCAACCCCAUGCAAACUCCGAAUACCCAGGAGUACAAUCACGGCAGACAGACAGCGGGUGCUAACGUC
rnacentral:rRNA from 1 species